AUUGAACGCUGGCGGAAUGCUUUACACAUGCAAGUCGAACGGCAGCACGGGGCAACCCGGUGGCGAGUGGCGAACGGGUGAGUAAUAUAUCGGAACGUGCCCAAUCGUGGGGGAUAACGUAGCGAAAGUUACGCUAAUACCGCAUACGAUCUACGGAUGAAAGCGGGGGAUCGCAAGACCUCGCGCGAAUGGAGCGGCCGAUAUCAGAUUAGGUAGUUGGUGGGGUAAAGGCUCACCAAGCCAACGAUCUGUAGCUGGUCUGAGAGGACGACCAGCCACACUGGAACUGAGACACGGUCCAGACUCCUACGGGAGGCAGCAGUGGGGAAUUUUGGACAAUGGGCGCAAGCCUGAUCCAGCCAUUCCGCGUGCAGGAUGAAGGCC
rnacentral:rRNA from 1 species